UACGGGGGGGGCAAGCGUUGUUCGGAAUUACUGGGCGUAAAGGGCGCGUAGGCGGCCUGCUAAGUCACACGUGAAAUCCCUCGGCUCAACCGGGGAACUGCGUGUGAUACUGGCGGGCUUGAAUUCGGGGGAGGGAUGUGGAAUUCCAGGUGUAGCGGUGAAAUGCGUAGAUAUCUGGAGGAACACCGGUGGCGAAGGCGGCAUCCUGGACCGAGAUUGACGCUGAGGCGCGAAAGCUAGGGGAGCAAACGGG
rnacentral:rRNA from 1 species